UUGCAACCAUAUCACCUUGAAACACCCGUCCCCGUACAAUCACCGAAGUUAAGCAACAUUGAGUAUGGUCAGUACCAGAUGGGUGACCGCUUGGAAAUACCAGGGGCUGUAAG